AUUGAACGCUGGCGGCAGGCCUAACACAUGCAAGUCGAGCGGAUGAAGGGAGCUUGCUCCUGGAUUCAGCGGCGGACGGGUGAGUAAUGCCUAGGAAUCUGCCUGGUAGUGGGGGAUAGCGUCCGGAAACGGGCGCUAAUACCGCAUACGUCCUGAGGGAGAAAGUGGGGGAUCUUCGGACCUCACGCUAUCAGAUGAGCCUAGGUCGGACUAGCUAGUUGGUGGGGUAAAGGCCUACCAAGGCGACGAUCCGUAACUGGUCUGAGAGGAUGAUCAGUCACACUGGAACUGAGACACGGUCCAGACUCCUACGGGAGGCAGCAGUGGGGAAUAUUGGACAAUGGGCGAAAGCCUGAUCCAGCCAUGCCGCGUGUGUGAAGAAGGUCUUCGGAUUGUAAAGCACUUUAAGUUGGGAGGAAGGGCAGUAAGUUAAUACCUUGCUGUUUUGACGUUACCAACAGAAUAAGCACCGGCUAACUUCGUG
rnacentral:rRNA from 1 species